UACAGAGGGUGCGAGCGUUGUCCGGAAUCACUGGGCGUAAAGGGCGCGUAGGUGGCCUGAUAAGUCGGGGGUGAAAUCUCGAGGCUCAACUUCGAGGCUGCCUCCUAAACUGUCAGGCUUGAGCAGAGUAGAGGCAGGUGGAAUUCCCGGUGUAGCGGUGGAAUGCGUAGAGAUCGGGAAGAACAUCGGUGGCGAAGGCGGCCUGCUGGGCUCUUGCUGACACUGAGGCGCGACAGCGUGGGGAGCAAACAGG
rnacentral:rRNA from 1 species